UACGAAGGGGGCUAGCGUUGCUCGGAAUUACUGGGCGUAAAGGGCUCGUAGGCGGCCAACUAAGUCAGACGUGAAAUCCCUCGGCUUAACCGGGGAACUGCAUCCGAUACUGGAUGGCUUGAAUCCGGGAGAGGGAUGCAGAAUUCCAGGUGUAGCGGUGAAAUGCGUAGAUAUCUGGAGGAAUACCGGUGGCGAAGGCGGCAUCCUGGACCGGCAUUGACGCUGAUGAGCGAAAGCCAGGGGAGCAAACGGG
rnacentral:rRNA from 1 species